GGAAGAGAGGUGUGAGUGAGUAAAUGAGUGUGCGAGUGUGUGUGUGUGCAUGUGAGCAUGUGUGCGCUUGUGUGUGUGUGUGUGGAUCUCUGCAUAGCUAGUUAGUGCUACAGUAUGAAUCAUCCCAGUGUGAGGAGAGAAAGGCGUCAGGUUGUCAUGGUUAUGUGAGAGAUCGAGAUACAGACUGAAGUUGUGUAAUUGUCUAAAUUCUAAAUCUUUCAAUAUAUUCACUUUUAGAUAAAAAAAAAAGGUCUAUCUAGAACCUAAAAGUUUUUUUUGGCUGUCCCCAUAGGAGAACCCUUUGAAGAACCCUUUUUGGUUCCAGAUAAAACCCUUUUGGUUCGAGGUAAAAACCUUUUGGGUUCCAUGCAGAACCCCUGCCACAGAGCGUUCUACAUGGAACCCCAGAGGGUUCUUCUAUGGGGACAGCCGAAGAACCCUUUUGGAACCCUUUUUUCUAAGAGUAUAUCACACUCUUGGUUAACUUCACAUGUUCUAAGAGGUUGAAGUUGUGUCAUUGUAACUUGGUUCAGUUUCUGCAUUUUCCCCCACUAAUGGUUAAGGGUAGGAUUUGGAUAAGGGAAGCUGAUCCUAGAUCUGUACCUAGGCAGUGGUGUAAAGUACUUAAGUCGUUUUUUGGGGUAUCUGUACUUUACUAUUUAUAUUUUUGACAACUUUUGCUUUUACUUCACUACAUUCCUAAAGAAAAUGAUGUAUUUUUACUCCACACAUUUUCCCUGACACCCAACACAACUAGUAGCAUUUUGAAUGUUUAUUAGCAGGACAGGAAAAUGGUCCAAUUCACACACUCAUGAAGAGAACAUCCCUGGUCAUCCCUACUGCCUCUGAUCUGGUGGACUCUAAACACACAUGCUUAGUUUGUAAAUUAUGUCUGAGUAUUGUCUGAGUAUUGUCUGAGUGUGCCCCUGGUUAUCUGUAAAUUAUGUCUGAGUGUUGUCUGAGUGUGCCCCUGGCUAUCUGUAAAUUAUGUCUGAGUGUUGUCUGAGUGUGCCCCUGGCUAUCUGUAAAUUAUGUCUGAGUAUUGUCUGAGUGUGCCCCUGGCUAUCUGUAAAUUAUGUCUGAGUAUUGUCUGAGUGUGCCCCUGGCUAUCUGUAAAUUAUGUCUGAGUAUUGUCUGAGUGUGCCCCUGGCUAUCUGUAAAUUAUGUCUGAGUAUUGUCUGAGUGUGCCCCUGGCUAUCUGUAAAUUAUGUCUGAGUAUUGUCUGAGUGUGCCCCUGGCUAUCUGUAAAUUAUGUACCUAGGGGAACCUUCACCUGGAUUCCAUACAUCACAUACAAACCACUCAGGUGCAUAUCAAUGACUGAAUAAUCCUGAUCUCUAGGACAUACCCUGUGAAUAGCUAGCUUUUUGCUGGAGCGACUGGGUAAGACUCUUUAGGAGGGUGGUCAGGUGUCUUUGUGAGACAGAGGUCCUGGGUUAGAGCCUUGGUAUGAGCUGAAACAGGAGGGUGGUCAGGUGUCUUUGUGAGACAGAGGUCCUGGGUUAGAGCCUUGGUAUGAGCUGAAACAGGAGGGUGGUCAGGUGUCUUUGUGAGACAGAGGUCCUGGGUUAGAGCCUUGGUAUGAGCUGAAACAGGAGGGUGGUCAGGUGUCUUUGUGAGACAGAGGUCCUGGGUUAGAGCCUUGGUAUGAGCUGAAACAGGAGGGUGGUCAGGUGUCUUUGUGAGACAGAGGUCCUGGGUUAGAGCCUUGGUAUGAGCUGAAACAGGAGGGUGGUCAGGUGUCUUUGUGAGACAGAGGUCCUGGGUUAGAGCCUUGGUAUGAGCUGAAACAGGAGGGUGGUCAGGUGUCUUUGUGAGACAGAGGUCCUGGGUUAGAGCCUUGGUAUGAGCUGAAACAGGAGGAAGCGGUACUCGCCAUCAGAGCAGGGU